UCGCUCCGGUGGCCUAGUGGUUUGAGCUUCUGCCUGGGAUGCGGGAGGUCGCGUGUUCGAACUCCGGCCUAGUCAU